UACGUAGGGGGCAAGCGUUGUCCGGAAUCAUUGGGCGUAAAGAGCGUGUAGGCGGCCAGAUAAGUCCGCUGUGAAAUCUCGAGGCUCAACUUCGAGCUGUCGGUGGAAACUGUCUGGCUAGAGUCCGGAAGAGGCGAGUGGAAUUCCCGGUGUAGCGGUGAAAUGCGCAGAUAUCGGGAGGAACACCUAUGGCGAAGGCAGCUCGCUGGGACGUUACUGACGCUGAGACGCGAAAGCGUGGGGAGCAAACAGG
rnacentral:rRNA from 1 species